rnacentral:rRNA from 1 species
AUUGAACGCUGGCGGCAUGCCUUACACAUGCAAGUCGAACGGUAACAGGUCUUCGGAUGCUGACGAGUGGCGAACGGGUGAGUAAUACAUCGGAACGUGCCCGAUCGUGGGGGAUAACGAGGCGAAAGCUUUGCUAAUACCGCAUACGAUCUACGGAUGAAAGCGGGGGAUCUUCGGACCUCGCGCGGACGGAGCGGCCGAUGGCAGAUUAGGUAGUUGGUGGGAUAAAAGCUUACCAAGCCGACGAUCUGUAGCUGGUCUGAGAGGAUGAUCAGCCACACUGGGACUGAGACACGGCCCAGACUCCUACGGGAGGCAGCAGUGGGGAAUUUUGGACAAUGGUCGAAAGCCUGAUCCAGCCAUGCCGCGUGCAGGAUGAAGGCCUUCGGGUUGUAAACUGCUUUUGUACGGAACGAAAAGCCUCUUUCUAAUAAAGAGGGGUCAUGACGGUACCGGAAGAAUAAGCACCGGCUAACUACGUG